rnacentral:rRNA from 1 species
AGGACGAACGCUGGCGGCGUGCUUAACACAUGCAAGUCGAACGGGGUGUGCCGGGUAGUAAUACCUUGUACAUCUAGUGGCGAACGGGUGCGUAACACGUGAGUAACCUACCCCGAAGUCUGGAAUAACACCGGGAAACCGAUGCUAAUACCAGAUGCCCUCCUCUGAUCGCAUGAUCGGUUGAGGAAAGUUUUUCGCUUCGGGAGGGGCUCGCGGCCUAUCAGCUUGUUGGUGGGGUAACGGCCUACCAAGGCGACGACGGGUAGCUGGUCUGAGAGGACGAUCAGCCACACUGGGACUGAGACACGGCCCAGACUCCUACGGGAGGCAGC